AUGGUUAUAAUAGGAGGAGAUGCGGGUGGCAAUGAAGGAGAUCAUUCUGGAAGUCAACCUCUUCGCCGGAACUCGAAGCGUCCUGCUAAUCGCCAGCCACGACCUACGCAGAGUGUUGAGCAGGGAGAGGAUGUUGAGGAUGCUGAUCAGUUCCGUGUUGUAAAGCGGACUAGACGUGCAGCACUUGGCAAGGGAGCUGAGUCAUCUUCUAGGGCAGCAGUUGCUGGAGAAGCUGUCGCAUCUUCCACAGCAGAUGCUGAGGGCAGCGGUGAAGGAGUUGAGGUGUCUCCAGGGGAAGAUGUGGAGCGACCAUCACAAGCAGGCAGGACAAGGGCAUCACCAGCGCGCUUUGCAAAUUUCAACGCCUCUCUAACUCCACUACAGAAAUCAGAGCUAGUUUCAAGGUCGGUCGGGGGGCUAUUGAACUUAUCAGACACACUUCCAGCGGACCUCACUAAGUUCCUGGUGCAGUCCUACCAGCCAUAG
rnacentral:rRNA from 1 species